CCCAGACUCCUACGGGAGGCAGCAGUGGGGAAUAUUGCACAAUGGGGGAAACCCUGAUGCAGCGACGCCGCGUGAGUGAAGAAGUAUUUCGGUAUGUAAAGCUCUAUCAGCAGGGAAGAAAAUGACGGUACCUGACUAAGAAGCCCCGGCUAACUACGUGCCAGCAGCCGCGGUAAUACGUAGGGGGCAAGCGUUAUCCGGAUUUACUGGGUGUAAAGGGAGCGUAGGUGGCAUGGUAAGCCAGAAGUGAAAACCCGGGGCUCAACCCCGCGGAUUGCUUUUGGAACUAUCAGGCUGGAGUGCUGGAGGGGUAAGCGGAAUUCCUAGUGUAGCGGUGAAAUGCGUAGAUAUUAGGAGGAACACCGGUGGCGAAGGCGGCUUACUGGACAGAAACUGACACUGAGGCUCGAAAGCGUGGGGAGCAAACAGGAUUAGAUACCCGUGUA
rnacentral:rRNA from 1 species